AGUAAACAAAACCUAAUUGAAGCUUUUUGAACCAAAAUUACGCUUUUGUUUAUUUUAAGUAAAACUUCAGUUUUUUUCGGUCGUUUGUUCUUCCAAAUUGUAUCGCCCUCGAGGGAGCCACGGGCAAUCAGUGCGCCGGCUGGCUGGGAGAACUCAGCACCUUGCUGGGACAGCACGUGAUGCGCGAUGUCGUAGUGGCGCAGACCGAAGCGGGAC